rnacentral:rRNA from 1 species
AAUUGUGGUCUGUAGACUUUGACAUUAUUUGCCGGGCCAAGUUCCUUGGAAAAGGACAGCUGAGAGGGUGACACUCCCGUCCGCCUGGUAAAGUGAGUCAUUUGUCAACGAGUCGAGUUGUUUGGGAUUGCAGCUCUAAUUUGGUGGUAAAUUCCAUCUAAAGCUAAAUAUUGGUGGGAGACCGAUAGCGUACAAGUACCGUGAGGGAAAGAUGCAAAGAACUUUGAAAAGAGAGUUAAAGAGUACCUGAAACUGCUGAAACGGAAGCGAAGGAAACCAGUGUUUGUUUGUUCAUAUUUCCCUGGCCACUUGUGGUCUGGGCGCUGUGGACUUGCGUGAGUUUGGGUUGGUUGAUCCCUUUGGAAGAGCGCAGUCAGAGUUGAUGUCUGUUGCUAGCACUGGGUUUGACUGAUGCAGACGAAAUGGUUUUCUUUACCCCGUCUUGAAACACGGACCAAGGAGUCUAACAUAUGUGCGAGUACAGGGGUGUCAAACCCCCGUGCGCAAUGAAAGUGACAGUGGUUGGAAUUUUUGCACAAUCCGCCGGCCUCAAUCCCUCGGGAGAACGGUCUGAGUGUGAGCAU